GGAAGACUGAGCUGAACAUCAGGAUGUCCGGUAAAGGACACAUCGCGCCCAUCGGAAACAAGCAAUCGGCCCCUCCACCCCGACCACCCCCACAACAGCCACCCCCACGGCAACCACCUGCUCCUCGUUUAGUUCCUGUCGUUCUUAAACCCGGCGGAGUUGGCGGCUUUCCGACGUUUUAACAUUGUACAUGUCGCCAUGGAGACACACGACUUCCUCGUGUUGGCUUAAGCAUUUACCGUUAAUUGUUUAACGUUGUCUUCGGCCAGUCAUCAACAUGUCACAAUUUACUUUGCUGAAAACAUUAAAUGAAUUCAGAUUGAA